rnacentral:rRNA from 1 species
UAGUACUGUGAAGGAAAGGUGAAAAGAACCCCGGGAGGGGAGUGAAAAGAACCUGAAACCUUGUGCUUACAAGCACACAAAGCACGUCAACGUGUGAUGUGGUACCUUUUGUAGAAUGGUCCGGCGAGUGAAUGUAACUGGCGAGGUUAAGUUCUUAAGGAACGGAGCCGAAGCGAAAGCAAGUCUGAAUAGGGCGUCUUAGUCAGUUGUAUUCGACCCGAAACCGGGUGACCUAUCCAUGUCCAGGAUGAAGUUAAGGUAAAACUUGAUGGAGGUCCGAACCCACGGUCGUUGAAAUGCCCGGGGAUGAGAUGUGGAUAGCGGAGAAAUUCCAAUCGAACCCGGAUAUAGCUGGUUCUCUCCGAAAUAGCUUUAGGGCUAGCCUCGACUGAACAUUACCGGAGGUAGAGCACUGAAUGGGCUAGGGGCCGAGAGGUUACUGAACCCUAUCAAACUUCAAAUGCCGGAAAAUGAUAGUCGGGAGUCAGACUGCGUGAGAUAAGUUUCGUAGUCGAAAGGGAAACAGCCCAGACCCACAGCUAAGGUCCCAAAGUACGGUUAAGUGGAAAAGGAUGUGGAGUUGCACAGACAACCAGGAUGUUGGCUUAGAAGCAGCCACUCAUUAAAAGAGUGCGUAAUAGCUCACUGGUCGAGUGACUCUGCGCCGAAAAUUUAACGGGGCUAAAUCGUACACCGAAGCUUGGGAUGCAUCUAUGAUGCAUGGUAGGAGAGCGUUGAAUGCGGGGUGAAGUCAGAGCGAAAGCGCUGGUGGACUGCAUUGAAGUGAGAAUGCCGGAAUGAGUAGCGAGAUUUAUGUGAGAAUCAUAAAGGCCGAAAGACUAAGGUUUCAGAAGGAAGGUUCGUCCGCUUCUGGUUAGCCGGGAGCUAAGGUGAGGCCGAAAGGCGUAGCCGAUGCACAUACGGUGGAGAUUCCGUAGCCGUCGAAAUAUUUAAGCAAAGGGACACUUAUGAAGGACAUGACCCGGGCGAUGGUAGCCCCGGGCGUAAGGGACUGAAAACAAGUAAGGAAGCAUGUUUGGAUUAAGGCGAGAAAAGCUUUGUGUAUAUAUGAGACGUCCGUACCGCAAACCGACACAGGUAGUCAGGAAGAGGAUUCUAAGGCCAACGGGAGAAGGGUAGUUAAGGAACUCGGCAAAUUGACCCCGUAACUUCGGGAUAAGGGGCGGUGCGUAAGCACCCGCAGUGAAUAGGUCCAGGCGACUGUUUAUCAAAAACACAGCUCUCUGCUAAAUCGAAAGAUGACGUAUAGGGGGUGACACCUGCCCGGUGCUGGAAGGUUAAGAGGAGGAGUGCAAGCUCCGAAUUGAAGCCCCAGUAAACGGCGGCCGUAACUAUAACGGUCCUAAGGUAGCGAAAUUCCUUGUCGGGUAAGUUCCGACCCGCACGAAUGGUGUAACGACUUGUGAGCUGUCUCAACAGGGGGCCCGGUGAAAUUGAAGUAUGGGUGAAGAUGCCCAUUACCCGCGACUGGACGGAAAGACCCCGUAGAGCUUUACUGUAACCUGACAUUGGAUCUUGAUAACGGAUGCACAGGAUAGGUGGGACGCUGGGAGACGAGGACUUUGGUUUUCGUGGAGCGGCCGUUGGGAUACCACUCUUCUGUUAUUGAGAUUCUAACCUCAAGCCGUGAGCCGGAUGAGAGACAGUGUCAGGCGGACAGUUUGACUGGGGCGGUCGCCUCCGAAAGAGUAACGGAGGCGCCCAAAGGUACCCUCAGAAUGGAUGGAAACCAUUCGAAGAGAGCAAAGUCAGAAGGGUGCUUGACUGCGAGACCAACAAGUCGAGCAGGUACGAAAGUAGGGCUUAGUGAUCCGGCGGUAAGAGAGUGGAAUUGCCGUCGCUCAACGGAUAAAAGCUACCUCGGGGAUAACAGGCUGAUCUCCCCCAAGAGUCCACAUCGACGGGGAGGUUUGGCACCUCGAUGUCGGCUCAUCGCAUCCUGGGGCUGUAUUCGGUCCCAAGGGUUUGGCUGUUCGCCAAUUAAAGCGGCACGCGAGCUGGGUUCAGAACGUCGUGAGACAGUUCGGUCCCUAUCCAUCGUGGGCGAAGGACACAUGAGAGGAGCUGCUCCUAGUACGAGAGGACCGGAGUGGACGCAUCACUGGUGCAACUGUUGUCGUGCCAACGGCACAGCAGGGAAGCGAAAUGCGGACGGGAUAAACGCUGAAGGCAUCUAAGCGUGAAGCCCACCUCAAGAAUAAGUGU